rnacentral:lncRNA from 10 species
GCCAUUGCUUUUACGUAACAACAAUAACCUCACUCACGAAACCUGCCUCGGUGUGUUUGUAUCCAGGAGGCAAGCCAAAUCAGUCUCCUACAGGACCUGAGAUCCAGGAAUAUUGGGAACAGUGGUGCUGAAAAAUCCUAGCAACUGUUAUCUGUAUUCCCAUAAAGACGGACCUAUAAUCCACCUGCUACUACAUUCUAGAGCCACUCUGAAGUAAAAGGAGAAAAUGUGUUGCUGUAACAAAACCGUAAAAAGCUGUGUGAGAUGGAAUCUGGAGUAUCUAAAGGUACUCUGGCAGCCAUGAACUCUGACUUCUGAGCUCCUCAGCGCAGAAGGAUUUCUAUUCUCUGACAGAGCUCUAGACCCCAUAUGCUGCGUGGACUGGAGAUUCCCCUAAAAAGAAAUGCCAGAACAAAUAUAUAUGUAUUACUCACCUUGAUUCGGUUAUUUCAAGGAUCAUAUCACCUUCAUUUUCUGCCUGCUUGUGGUUGCUCUUUGGACUUCAAAAAAGGCAAAAAUGAAACUGUGAAUGUGGCUGCUGAAGACAUCUCCCACCCCCAGCCCUAUAAUUUUCUGAGCUGAUAUAUCGCAAGGACAUGGCAGAAUGCACUUACAAGUGUAUUGGACAGAGAGAGUAUCUUUUGGAACAUUUUU